AUUCCUUAUUUGAAGAAGAGAGAUUUUUCAAAGAGGAGCCCCUGCGUUUAGGUCAACUUGUGAACCGCUCCCGCCAUGCCAUUGGUAACCUUCUAUCAUUACAAAAGCUGGCGCAACAGGACGCAAACAAGGUACCCAGAACUGGAAAUAGCUGUCCUGUUGUUUUAAAGAGUCCGAUGAAGGAAACAGAUACAAUAAAACGUAAUGGGAGUUACAGGCCGGGCGCCGUUGUUACUCAGAUAUCUCACAAAACCAAAGUUGAAUAUGGCGGAGCAAGAACAACCGCUGCGUACAAUCAAAACAACGGUUCUCAGGCAAGCGUUGCUAAAACGAAGGUUCGUUUCAGUGAUUCCGCAGAAUGCAGAACUUAUCGUCAAUAAUAUUCACAGCUGCGUUCUAUAUCACAUAGGUCCAACUUAAGGGUAAGUUUGAACCAGAUAGUUUACCCAGGGAGUUGGUACAAAAGAGUUACUUAACCCUCGUGAAUUAACAUGCAUUCCGUAAAUCUUGGGUAAAAACAGGCGGAUAGGAAGAGGGCGAGGUUCCGAUCACAAUGUCCGAAGUCAUAACUCUCCUGUUUGUAGCCCAUCCAGUUUCAGUAAAGUAGACUUUCAACUACAUGUAAGCUCAGAAAACAUCCAAAUAGACAUUGCCAUCAAUUGGGUUGCGCUACAUAUAUGCAA